GAUGAAGUGAGGAGGUGAAUAUGUCGAAGCCAUCUGUCCGUCAGUUUUACCAACAGUACUUUUUGGCGACGCAGGGAGCGUCAUGGCUGGCCCGCCUGGUCGCAGGAUUGCGCCUGAAAAUGCUGGAAGAAUUGAUGCAGUGGGAUGUUACGAACCCGGCUUCUGGAUCUCAUUAACUUGCCAAAUCAUGUGUGACUGAGUAUUGGUGUAAAAUCACCCGCCAGCAGAAAGCUUCUGCUGGCUUUUUUC
rnacentral:sRNA from 1 species